rnacentral:lncRNA from 1 species
CCUAGGCACUCUUCCAGGAGCUCCACCCGUGCCCCCGAGAGAAGGUGGGCGGCCCAAAACACGGCUCGUGUUAAGUCUUAGGAUUUUAUGUAGAAGGGGCUGAUGCACCGGGCCUGGUGUGCACUAAAACAAUCAAACAGGAAAUACACCCAUUCCAUCCCCACCACCACCCAUCAGCUAGAACUGGAUGUUCACUUCUUUGUUACCCAAGGUAAAGUAAAUACAAAUACAGUUGGCUUAUGUUUCAGGAAGUGGAGUGUU